GUAAGUUCAUCAUUGUUUCGGAGGUCAAACGACAGCUCAACAGGUGCAAUGAGAGAAAGCAACAAAACAUUUACACAGAAGCUGACGGUGAGGAAAACAACAUACAAAGCGAACAGUAAUCGGUCAAUGACCUCCCCCAGUUGAAUCCACUCCUCUGAGUUCUGAUCAGUGGAGAAAUGCUCGUCCACUUUCUGGCGAAUGUGAACAGGAAAUCGUGCCUUUGGUGUUUUCUGCUGGCAGAAAUUAUUAAAUGUAUUAAUGUGAUCUAAAGACUGGCCACCAUCAGCGCUAAACACAGAGAGAAAAACACAUCUGUAGGGAGAGAGAGAAUAACAUCGUUCAUGAGGAGGAGGAAGACGGUGUAGCCUAAGAUCAAGGUCAUUUUAAAGGCAGAGCGAUCCAUUUUC